rnacentral:rRNA from 1 species
GACGAACCGUGCAAACGUUAUUCGGAAUCACUGGCUUAAAGCGCGUGUAGGCGGGGCGGCACGUCGGUCGCUGAAAGCCCCCGGCUUAACCGGGGAACUGGCGCCGAUACGACCGUCCUGGAGGAACGUAGGGGGACCUGGAACUUCCGGUGGAGCGGUGAAAUGCGUUGAGAUCGGAAGGAACGCCCCGUGGCGAAAGCGAGGUCCUGGACGUUUUCUGACGCUGAGACGCGAAAGCCAGGGUAGCGAACGGG